rnacentral:rRNA from 1 species
AGUGAACGCUGGCGGUAGGCCUAACACAUGCAAGUCGAACGGCAGCACAGUAAGAGCUUGCUCUUACGGGUGGCGAGUGGCGGACGGGUGAGGAAUACAUCGGAAUCUACUUUUUCGCGGGGGAUAACGUAGGGAAACUUACGCUAAUACCGCAUACGACCUACGGGUGAAAGCAGGGGAUCUUCGGACCUUGCGCGAUUGAAUGAGCCGAUGUCGGAUUAGCUAGUUGGCGGGGUAAAGGCCCACCAAGGCGACGAUCCGUAGCUGGUCUGAGAGGAUGAUCAGCCACACUGGAACUGAGACACGGUCCAGACUCCUACGGGAGGCAGCAGUGGGGAAUAUUGGACAAUGGGCGCAAGCCUGAUCCAGCCAUACCGCGUGGGUGAAGAAGGCCUUCGGGUUGUAAAGCCCUUUUGUUGGGAAAGAAAAGCAGCAGGUUAAUACCCCGCUGUUCUGACGGUACCCAAAGAAUAAGCACCGGCUAACUUCGCG